rnacentral:rRNA from 1 species
AACGAACGCUGGCGGCAUGCCUAUCACAUGCAAGUCGAACGAGACCUUCGGGUCUAGUGGCGCACGGGUGCGUAACGCGUGGGAACCUGCCCUUAGGUUCGGAAUAACUCCCCGAAAGGGGUGCUAAUACCGGAUAAUGUCUUCGGACCAAAGAUUUAUCGCCUUUGGAUGGGCCCGCGUUGGAUUAGCUAGUUGGUAGGGUAAAAGCCUACCAAGGCGACGAUCCAUAGCUGGUCGGAGAGGAUGAUCAGCCACACUGGGACUGAGACACGGCCCAGACUCCUACGGGAGGCAGCAGUGGGUAAUAUUGGACAAUGGGCGAAAGCCUGAUCCAGCAAUGCCGCGUGAGUGAUGAAGGCCUUAGGGUUGUAAAGCUCUUUUACCCGGGAUGAUAAUGACAGUACCGGGAGAAUAAGCUCCGGCUAACUCCGUG